UACGAGGGGUCCAAGCGUUGCUCGGAAUCAUUGGGCGUAAAGCGAGUGUAGGUGGCUUUGUAAGUCAGGAGUGAAAGCCCUGGGCCUAACCCAGGAAGUGCUUUUGAUACUGCAAAGCUUGAAUGUGGGAGAGGAUCGUGGAAUUCCAGGUGCAGUGGUGAAAUACGUAGAUAUCUGGAGGAACACCGGUGGCGAAGGCGGCGAUCUGGCCCAACAUUGACACUGAGACUCGAAAGUGCGGGGAUCAAACAGG
rnacentral:rRNA from 1 species